CAGCCGCCGCGGGAAUACAGAGGGUGCGAGCGUUAAUCGGAUUUACUGGGCGUAAAGCGUGCGUAGGCGGCUUUUUAAGUCGGAUGUGAAAUCCCUGAGCUUAACUUAGGAAUUGCAUUCGAUACUGGGAAGCUAGAGUAUGGGAGAGGAUGGUAGAAUUCCAGGUGUAGCGGUGAAAUGCGUAGAGAUCUGGAGGAAUACCGAUGGCGAAGGCAGCCAUCUGGCCUAAUACUGACGCUGAGGUACGAAAGCAUGGGGAGCAAACAGGAUUAGAUACCCCUGUAGUCCCUGUCUCUUAUAU
rnacentral:rRNA from 1 species